UGGGGAAUAUUGCACAAUGGGCGCAAGCCUGAUGCAGCCAUGCCGCGUGUGUGAAGAAGGCCUUCGGGUUGUAAAGCACUUUCAGCGGGGAGGAAGGCGUUAAGGUUAAUAACCUUGGCGAUUGACGUUACCCGCAGAAGAAGCACCGGCUAACUCCGUGCCAGCAGCCGCGGUAAUACGGAGGGUGCAAGCGUUAAUCGGAAUUACUGGGCGUAAAGCGCACGCAGGCGGUCUGUCAAGUCGGAUGUGAAAUCCCCGGGCUCAACCUGGGAACUGCAUUCGAAACUGGCAGGCUAGAGUCUUGUAGAGGGGGGUAGAAUUCCAGGUGUAGCGAUGAAAUGCGUAGAGAUCUGGAGGAAUACCGGUGGCGAAGGCGGCCCCCUGGACAAAGACUGACGCUCAGGUGCGAAAGCGUGGGGAGCAAACAGG
rnacentral:rRNA from 1 species